CAGUCGCCACGGUAACACGUAGGGUGCGAGCGUUAAUCGGAAUUACUGGGCGUAAAGCGUGCGCAGGCGGUUAUAUAAGACAGAUGUGAAAUCCCCGGGCUCAACCUGGGAAUGGCAAUGGAUACUGGCAAGCUAGAGUGUGUCAGAGGAUGGUGGAAUUCCCGGUGUAGCAGUGAAAUGCGUAGAUAUGCGGAGGAACACCGAUGGCGAAGGCAGCCCCCUGGGCCAACACUGACGCUCAUGCACGAAAGCGUGGGGAGCAAACAGGAUUAGAUACCCCUGUAGUCCCUGUCUCUUAUAC
rnacentral:rRNA from 1 species